GGCAAGAUGGCCGAGCGGUCUAAGGCGCCAGACUCAAGUGACCGAGUACGACUCAAGUACUCCACCACUUCCGAAUCACCAGGUUCGGCGUAUUCUGGUCUCGAAAGAGGCGUGGGUUCAAAUCCCACUCUUGUCA
rfam:Magnaporthe oryzae 70-15 chromosome 7, whole genome shotgun sequence.